UACGAAGGGGGCUAGCGUUGCUCGGAAUUACUGGGCGUAAAGCGCACGUAGGCGGAUUGUUAAGUCGGGGGUGAAAUCCUGGAGCUCAACUCCAGAACUGCCUUCGAUACUGGCGAUCUCGAGUUCGGGAGAGGUGAGUGGAACUGCGAGUGUAGAGGUGAAAUGCGUAGAUAUCUGGAGGAACACCGGUGGCGAAGGCGGCAUCCUGGACCGACACUGACGCUGAGGCGCGAAAGCUAGGGUAGCAAACGGG
rnacentral:rRNA from 1 species